UAGGGAAUCUUCGGCAAUGGACGGAAGUCUGACCGAGCAACGCCGCGUGAGUGAAGAAGGUUUUCGGAUCGUAAAGCUCUGUUGUAAGAGAAGAACGAGUGUGAGAGUGGAAAGUUCACACUGUGACGGUAUCUUACCAGAAAGGGACGGCUAACUACGUGCCGGCAGCCGCGGUAAUACGUAGGUCCCGAGCGUUGUCCGGAUUUAUUGGGCGUAAAGCGAGCGCAGGCGGUUAGAUAAGUCUGAAGUUAAAGGCUGUGGCUUAACCAUAGUACGCUUUGGAAACUGUUUAACUUGAGUGCAAGAGGGGAGAGUGGAAUUCCAUGUGUAGCGGUGAAAUGCGUAGAUAUAUGGAGGAACACCGGUGGCGAAAGCGGCUCUCUGGCUUGUAACUGACGCUGAGGCUCGAAAGCGUGGGGAGCAAACAGGAUUAGAUACCCUGGUAGUCCACGCCGUAAACGAUGAGUGCUAGGUGUUAGACCCUUUCCGGGGUUUAGUGCCGCAGCUAACGCAUUAAGCACUCCGCCUGGGGAGUACGACCGCAAGGUUG
rnacentral:rRNA from 1 species